GAUGAACGCUGGCGGCGUGCCUAACACAUGCAAGUCGAACGGAAGGACGAGUUUCGGGGGGCACUGGUGUGGGGGACGGACGGGUAAGUCACGCGUAGACAGCCUAUCUCUUUGGGAUAGCUUAAGUAGAGAGAGGCGAGUUACGGACAGAAGAUACUUCGAACUGGAGGGGUCAGAAGUGUAUGGGGGUCUGGCUGUGGCUUAUAGAUGGAUCCGCGCUGCAUUGGGUAGUUGGUGAGGUAAGGGUUUACCGAGGCAACGAUGCAUAGGCGACCUGAGCGGGUGAUCGGCCACACUGGAACUGAGACACGGUACAGACUCCUACGGGAGGACGCAGUAGGGAAUCUUCCGCGAUGGGCGAAAGCCUGACGGAGCAACGCCGCGUGAGUGAUGAAGGUCUUCGGAUCGGAAAACUCUGUUAUUAGGGAAGAACAUAUGUGUAAGUAACUGUGCACAUCUUGACGGUACCUAAUCAGAAAGCCACGGCUAACUACGUG
rnacentral:rRNA from 1 species